UUACGGUCAUAUCACGUUGAAACACCGAUUCCUAUACAGUCACCGAAGUUAAGCAACAUCAUUCCUGGUCAAUACCUAGAUGGCUGACCGCUUGGGAAUACCAGGUGCUGUAAU